AUUGAACGCUGGCGGCAGGCUUAGCACAUGCAAGUCGAGCGGAGAUGAGGUGCUUGCACCUUAUCUUAGCGGCGGACGGGUGAGUAAUGCUUAGGAAUCUGCCUAUUAGUGGGGGACAACAUUCCGAAAGGAAUGCUAAUACCGCAUACGUCCUACGGGAGAAGGCAGGGGAUCUUCGGACCUUGCGCUAAUAGAUGAGCCUAAGUCGGAUUAGCUAGUUGGUGGGGUAAAGGCCUACCAAGGCGACGAUCUGUAGCGGGUCUGAGAGGAUGAUCCGCCACACUGGGACUGAGACACGGCCCAGACUCCUACGGGAGGCAGCAGUGGGGAAUAUUGGACAAUGGGGGGAACCCCGAUCCAGCCAUGCCGCGUGUGUGAAGAAGGCCUUAUGGUUGUAAAGCACUUUAAGCGAGGAGGAGGCUACUGAGACUAAUACUCUUGGAUAGUGGACGUUACUCGCAGAAUAAGCACCGGCUAACUCUGUGCCAGCCGCCGCAGUAAAAC
rnacentral:rRNA from 1 species